UACGUAGGGGGCGAGCGUUGUCCGGAUUUAUUGGGCGUAAAGAGCGUGUAGGCGGUUCGGUAAGUCUGUCGUGAAAUCCCUCGGCUCAACCGAGGAACUGCGUCCGAUACUGGUUGGCUUGAAUCCGGGAGAGGGAUGUGGAAUUCCAGGUGUAGCGGUGAAAUGCGUAGAUAUCUGGAGGAACACCGGUGGCGAAGGCGGCAUUCUGGACUGCAACUGACACUGAGAGACGAAAGCCAGGGGAGCAAACGGG
rnacentral:rRNA from 1 species